UACGGAGGGAGCUAGCGUUGUUCGGAUAUACUGGGCGUAAAGCGCACGUAGGCGGCGCCGUAAGUCAGGGGUGAAAUCCCGGAGCUCAACUCCGGAACUGCCCUUGAAACUGCAGUGCUAGAAUCUUGGAGAGGCGAGUGGAAUUCCGAGUGUAGAGGUGAAAUUCGUAGAUAUUCGGAAGAACACCAGUGGCGAAGGCGCCUUGCUGGCCAAUUUCUGACGCUGAGGCGCGAAAGCGUGGGGAGCAAACAGG
rnacentral:rRNA from 1 species